CCUACGGGAGGCUGCAGUGGGGAAUAUUGCACAAUGGGGGAAACCCUGAUGCAGCAACGCCGCGUGAGUGAAGAAGUAUUUCGGUAUGUAAAGCUCUAUCAGCAGGGAAGAAGCAAGACGGUACCUGACUAAGAAGCCCCGGCUAACUACGUGCCAGCAGCCGCGGUAAUACGUAGGGGGCAAGCGUUAUCAGGAUUUACUGGGUGGAAAGGGAGCGUAGGCGGCUGUGCAAUUCUGAAGUGAAAGCCCGUGGCUCAACCGCGGAACUGCUUUGGAAACUGUAUAGCUUGAGGACUGGAGAGGCAGGCGGAAGUCCUAGUUUAGCGGUGAAAUGCGUAGAUAUUAGGAGGAACACCAGUGGCGAAGGCGGACUGCUGGACAGAAACUGACGUUGAGGCUCGAAAGCGUGGGGAGCAAACAGGAUUAGAUACCCCAGUAGUC
rnacentral:rRNA from 1 species